CCACCGGACAUGUCAGCCUAACCCAACCACAACGAUAGAGAAGUAGAAAUACGAGAAUAAAAGAUAAUAAAUAAGCGGAAGACUUUAAUUGAGACUCAACACUACCCAGAAUUUGGUUGUCACAUGUACAAACCUCUAAAUACAGAAUUCGAAUAAAAAUAUACAAGUCUCAAAGUAUAGUUCUCGAAUAGAACAAAACUGAAAGUAAAGAUAACUCAAGGGCACGUCUGGAAUGAACCGCUACCUCUCGAGUAUGUCCCGAAGCUCAAUCUGCUAAAGAAAAUACUAAGCUGAAUCUGAGAGAGCUGUCAACCUACACAAUUGUGUAGAAGCAAGGGUGAGUACCGAAAACCACAGGUACUCGCAAGUAACUCUAAACUAAGCAAAACUAGCAGCUACAAACAACUCCUUUCAAUCCCAACCGAACCACCGAAACUUCAAUCUAGCA
rnacentral:lncRNA from 1 species